GUGCUCGCUUCAACAGCACAUAUACUAAUAUUGGAAUGACAUGGAGAAGAUUAGCAUGGCCCCUGUGCAAAAAUGACAUGCGAAUUCAUGAAGUGUUCCAUAUUUUU